rnacentral:rRNA from 1 species
CCUACGGGGGGCUGCAGUGGGGAAUAUUGCACAAUGGGCGCAAGCCUGAUGCAGCCAUGCCGCGUGUGUGAAGAAGGCCUUCGGGUUGUAAAGCACUUUCAGCGGGGAGGAAGGCGGUGAGGUUAAUAACCUCAUCGAUUGACGUUACCCGCAGAAGAAGCACCGGCUAACUCCGUGCCAGCAGCCGCGGUAAUACGGAGGGUGCAAGCGUUAAUCGGAAUUACUGGGCGUAAAGCGCACGCAGGCGGUCUGUCAAGUCGGAUGUGAAAUCCCCGGGCUCAACCUGGGAACUGCAUUCGAAACUGGCAGGCUAGAGUCUUGUAGAGGGGGGUAGAAUUCCAGGUGUAGCGGUGAAAUGCGUAGAGAUCUGGAGGAAUACCGGUGGCGAAGGCGGCCCCCUGGACAAAGACUGACGCUCAGGUCCGAAAGCGUGGGGAGCAAACAGGAUUAGAUACCCUAGUAGUC